rnacentral:rRNA from 1 species
GAUCGGAGUGCUUGCACUCUGUGAAACAAGAUACAGGCUAGCGGCGGACGGGUGAGUAACACGUGGGUAACCUGCCCAAGAGAUCGGGAUAACACCUGGAAACAGAUGCUAAUACCGGAUAACAACAGAUGAUGCCUAUCAACUGUUUAAGAGAUGGUUCUGCUAUCACUCUUGGAUGGACCUGCGGUGCAUUAGCUAGUUGGUAGGGUAACGGCCUACCAAGGCGAUGAUGCAUAGCCGAGUUGAGAGACUGAUCGGCCACAUUGGGACUGAGACACGGCCCAAACUCCUACGGGAGGCAGCAGUAGGGAAUCUUCCACAAUGGACGCAAGUCUGAUGGAGCAACGCCGCGUGAGUGAAGAAGGGUUUCGGCUCGUAAAGCUCUGUUGUUGGUGAAGAAGGACAGGGGUAGUAACUGACCUUUGUUUGACGGUAAUCAAUUAGAAAGUCACGGCUAACUACGUGCCAGCAGCCGCGGUAAUACGUAGGUGGCAAGCGUUGUCCGGAUUUAUUGGGCGUAAAGCGAGUGCAGGCGGCUCGAUAAGUCUGAUGUGAAAGCCUUCGGCUCAACCGGAGAAUUGCAUCAGAAACUGUCGAGCUUGAGUACAGAAGAGGAGAGUGGAACUCCAUGUGUAGCGGUGAAAUGCGUAGAUAUAUGGAAGAACACCGGUGGCGAAGGCGGCUCUCUGGUCUGUUACUGACGCUGAGGCUCGAAAGCAUGGGUAGCGAACAGGAUUAGAUACCCUGGUAGUCCGUGCCGUAAACGAUGAGUGCUAAGUGUUGGGAGGUUCCCGCCUCUCAGUGCUGCAGCUAACGCAUUAAGCACUC